rnacentral:misc_RNA from 1 species
CAGAUUUGCCUCCAUCUUCAACAGUGCCUCCCGGCCCAUUUGGACAUCAGCAGAAUUAUAUGCCGCCCCCUCAUGCUUUUGGGCCAACAAAUUUUCAGGGGCAGCAACCAUUGGGUCGGCCAGGCAUUGGCGUCCCGCCCUCUGGACCAGGAGGGUCUGCCUUUGGUAUGGAAAAUCAGAUGGGUCCCUCCCACCCUGCCAAGUCUCUUGAAGCAGAAAGAUAUGGUGUUGAGAAAG